AACGAACGCUGGCGGCAUGCCUAACACAUGCAAGUCGAACGAGUGCCUUCGGGUGCUAGUGGCGCACGGGUGCGUAACGCGUGGGAAUCUGCCCCUUGGUUCGGAAUAACGGCUGGAAACGGUCGCUAAUCCCGGAUGACGACGAAAGUCCAAAGAUUUAUCGCCGAGGGAUGAGCCCGCGUUGGAUUAGCUAGUUGGGGUGGUAACGGCGCACCAAGGCGACGAUCCAUAGCUGGUCUGAGAGGAUGAUCAGCCACACUGGGACUGAGACACGGCCCAGACUCCUACGGGAGGCAGCAGUGGGGAAUAUUGGACAAUGGGCGCAAGCCUGAUCCAGCAAUGCCGCGUGAGUGACGAAGGCCUUGGGGUUGUAAAGCUCUUUUACCCGGGAUGAUAAUGACAGUAUCGGGAGAAUAAGCUCCGGCUAACUCCGUGCCAGCAGCCGCAGUAA
rnacentral:rRNA from 1 species